rnacentral:rRNA from 1 species
UACGUAGGGUGCAAGCGUUGUCCGGAAUUAUUGGGCGUAAAGAGCUCGUAGGCGGUCUGUCGCGUCUGCUGUGAAAACCUAGGGCUUAACUCUGGGCGUGCAGUGGGUACGGGCAGGCUAGAGUGCGGUAGGGGAGACUGGAAUUCCUGGUGUAGCGGUGAAAUGCGCAGAUAUCAGGAGGAACACCCGUGGCGAAGGCGGCCCACUGGGCCGGUACUGACGCUGAGGCACGAAGGCGUGGGGAGCGAACGGG